GGGAAGCUGUGGGGAGCCAUCCCUACUCUGAACUGGGGAGACGAGGAGAAAGAUGAAGAGGCAGCGGCAGCCGGAGAGGCGCGCGGAGACAUAGGACAGAUGUGCAUUCUGCGAGGCUAAAUUUCAAAGGGAUGAAAGUGUCAUAUGGCUGGAAGGGACCUUGCGAAAUGAGUUAGUGCAAGAACAGUGACAUCUACAGCAAUAGUGAUGCCAUCUGUCUGUGUGGAGUUGUGGAAUUAUCUGCAGAGGCAGUGCACCCGGCGUGGCUUUGAGACUGUGAGUCAGGAUGGAUUCUCUACCACUGGACCACCAGGGAACUCCCCAGUUAAAGAUCUUGAAAUGGGGAGAUUUUCCAGGAUUAUCCAGUUGGGCCCAGGCAGAGGGAGAUCACACACAAAAGAGGAGGAAGCCACGUGGAGAUGGAGGCAGAGACUGCAGUGAUGCAGCCACAAGCAAAAGCAUGCUGGCAACCACUAGAAACUGGAAGAGGAAGGGCAGGGCUUCUCGCCUGGAGCCUCUGCAGGGAGCAUGGCCCAAGGAUGCCUUGAUUUCUGCCCAGUGAGACUGAGGUUGAACUUCUAGUCUUUGGAACUAUGAGAGAAUAAAUUUCUGUUGUUUGAAGCCACCAAGGUUGUGGGAAUUUGUUACAGCAGCCACAGGAAAUUAACACAGGCACACACACACACACACACACACACACACACACAAAGUUUAGGUGUCUGUUGUUGGAGCAGUCUGGAAAGCCUGUGGCUCCCUUCUCAGAAGAAUGGUUUCACAUCAUAACAUAAA